AUCAGUCCCUAGGCCUUAAGUGUUGACCUCAGUUGAUUUAUUUUUUUUAAAUAUCAAAAUACCCUCAUAAAACCUAAAGUACCUAAUACCCUUCUGUCUCUUAACCAAUUAAUCACCGCACAUACCAUCCAUCGUCUUCUUCCCCAAAUAGCAAAAAGGCAGCCAGGUGGUAAAGCGCGAUUUGUCGCCCCAAGUAGAAUUUCCAGCUACAAACCGGUGACAAACGCUUCUUCUUCUCCAAAUUGAAGGCAAAACCCUAGCUCUUGGAUAGUGCAUCACCAUCUCUCCGGCGACACGCGAUGAGGACCGUCGAAGACUUAUCUAGGGAGUAGCGCCAUUAUUCAUCUUCUUCUACCCCAAUGUACGUCCCCAGAUUUCCAUAAUUGGCAGUAUGAUUUGAUUCCAAAUUUUUGCAAAUGGUGAGUAAAUUCCAAAUUUUGUAAUUGGCAGAGUUAUUAACCAUAAUGUUGAUUAAGUUGCCAAACUGAGUUGUAUUCUCUCCAUCCCACAAAGACAAGGUCCAAAACUUGAAAUCGGAUAUGGGAUCUUUCUUCAUCGAUUCCAAUCUUAUUCAUUCUAGAAUCAGUCAGAGUUUCUCGAUGACAAUAAAUAUAAUAUCGUUAUCGGAAAAGCCAUUGACUUGGAACUAUUCUGGUGAUCCCUUUUCCUUGUAAUAGCUUUCUUUAUUCAUUUGCUCCCUCCUUCCAAACCAUUGUGGAUCCCCCAUUAACAAAUCCAUUGGGCAGAGUUUAUGGUUCUAGACCAUUAUGAAUCCCUCCUUUAAAUUUAUCUAUUAUUUUCAAUUGAUAAUUAUCAUCAGGGUGAAACAUGAAGAAUGAUUUAUGGUUGCUUUCAUGUAAUGUAAUCGAACAUGGGUCGUUAGCCAUUGUAUGAGUUGUUCCUUUUUAUCUUGUUGAAUGGUUUCAACCAGUUGGAAUGCUUAUUUGAAUAUAAA